UACGAAGGGGGCUAGCGUUGCUCGGAAUCACUGGGCGUAAAGCGCACGUAGGCGGGCUCUUAAGUCGGUGGUGAAAUCCUGGAGCUCAACUCCAGAACUGCCUCCGAUACUGGGAGUCUUCGAGUCCGGGAGAGGUGAGUGGAACUGCGAGUGUAGAGGUGAAAUUCGUAGAUAUUCGCAAGAACACCAGUGGCGAAGGCGGCUCACUGGCCCGGUACUGACGCUGAGGUGCGAAAGCGUGGGGAGCAAACAGG
rnacentral:rRNA from 1 species